rnacentral:sRNA from 6 species
AAAAGAACUUUGGAGAGAGAGUCAAACAGUACGUGAAACCGUCAGGAGGGAAACGAACGAGGUCGGUGCAGUGAUCACGCAGGUUCAAGCCCUGCCGAAGGUGCCGACACGACGGCAUAGCUUGUCCCGUGUCGUACGCCGGAGGCAGUGCCGUACUCCUCGUGAGCAUGGACCAGCAGCGGUUGAGCCGGAGCCACAAGGCUGCAGGGAAGGUGAGUCGAUGAGCACCUGUGUCACAUCGACGGCAUAUAGCCCUACAGUAUGGCGCUCCGGUCCGACCGAGGAAGGAGGGCAGCCCUUGCCCAUCGUGGUACACGCCGUAUGGCGGGGCCUCCCGACACAAGUGAACCAUGCGGUGUGGACUGCAUGCAGUGCAUAUCGUGGUGGGGAUCUUGUAGCGGAGAGUGCCACCUGUGUGCCAGUGCUGCUGGUAUUCAGACAGCCUCGUUCGACCCGUCUUG